ACAGGAUUAGAUAGCCUGGUAGUCCACGCCGUAAACGGUGGGUGCUAGUUUUGGGUCACAUUCCACGUGAUCCGUGACGAAGUUAACACAUUAAGCACCCCGCCUGGGGAGUACGGUCGCAAGACUAAAACUCAAAGGAAUUGACGGGGGCCCGCGCAAGCGGCGGAGCAUGCGGAUUAAUUCGAUGCAACGCGAAGAACCUUACCAAGGCUUGACAUAUACAGGAAAAGCGUAGAAAUACGCUCCCCGCAAGGUCUGUAUACAGGUGGUGCAUGGUUGUCGUCAGCUCGUGUCGUGAGAUGUUGGGUUAAGUCCCGCAACGAGCGCAACCCUCGUCCUAUGUUGCCAGCACGUAAUGGUGGGAACUCAUGGGAGACUGCCGGGGUCAACUCGGAGGAAGGUGGGGAUGACGUCAAAUCAUCAUGCCCCUUAUGUCUUGGGCUUCACGCAUGCUACAAUGGCCAGUACAAAGGGCUGCGAUACCGCAAGGUGGAGCGAAUCCCAUAAAGCUGGUCUCAGUUCGGAUUGAGGUCUGCAACUCGACCUCAUGAAGUCGGAGUCGCUAGUAAUCGUAGAUCAGCAACGCUACGGUGAAUACGUUCCCGGGCCUUGUACACACCGCCCGUCAAGUCACGAAAGU
rnacentral:rRNA from 1 species